ACGCUGGCGGCACGCCUAACACAUGCAAGUCGAACGCAGUAGCAAUACUGAGUGGCAAACGGGUGAGUAUAAUGUGGGAAUCUGCCUUUUGGUUUGGAAUAACACGGGGAAACUUGUGCUAAUACCGAAUAAGCCCUUACGGGGAAAGUUUUAACGCCGAAAGAUGAGCCCGCACUUGAUUAGCUAGUUGGUAAGGUAAAAGCUUACCAAGGCAACGAUCAAUAGCUGUUCUUAGAGGAAGACCAGCCACAUUGGGACUGAGACACGGCCCA
rnacentral:rRNA from 1 species